GAAACAUCUAUUUAAAAUAAACUUGUUAUUUCUCUCUUUUUAGGGAAACUCACUGCAGAACUUGCAAAAUGUGAUGCAACGAUUAGUAAGUGACAUUUCCUUGUACACCUCAGGAUGGUUUGGUUGGUGUUUCAGCGUUGAAGGGAUGCAGGAAUUUCUUAAUUAAACCAAAUUUGGGUCGUGAGAAGAAAUGAUCUCUUGGGUUUCAAGGGCCGGGGGAGCCUGAAUCCAAAGUUCAGGGGGAGAAAGGAAAAUAUAAUGCGGGGCAAAUUCCCAUGGGGGGAGUCGAGAUGGGCUGGAGAGGUGCAGGUUUGAGGCGUUCGGGAAAUCUAAAAGGAACUAAUGUUAUUUUCCGUUUUAAGGGAUAUUUACGGUGGAGCUCGGUAAGUCCAUUUCCUUCCUUUUGCAUUUUUUAUUAGGUUUUUAAAAAAUUAUUAAAUUUUUAAUAACUAAUACAUUGCAAGCAAAAUAUCAAAUUGUACUUUUAAAAUACAAUUAUAAAAACAAACCCCAAACUUAUUUCUGCCUGUUUCCCUGUGUUUCAACCACCUGGAAAAAACCAGCAUCUUAAAGGCAGAAGUAGAGAAGUGUUAAAUCCCAAAAUAAUUAGAAAUGGGAAUAACAUGGGCUAGAGCAGAAAUAGUCUUGUAUUCCAAAUUAUUAUAGAUGUAACGUGUGAAUGGCAGAACCAUGAGAAAUAACACACGAUUGGUUUUUUUUCAUUCAUUUUUAGGAGAGCGGCACACAAAAAUAGGUGAACUUACUGCAGACGUCGGGGACUGCAAUAGAAAACUUCGUAAGUGCCUUUUUGUAAUUGUGAGAAUUAACCCUGAGAAUUUUGUCAUCUAUUAUGUCAUCAAUAAGAGAGGAUCGUCAUGAAAUUCCUGUUUUGGUUUUUUUUUUCUCUAUUUUAAGGGCAACAUGCAGCAGAACUUGGUAAGGAAUUUCACUGUUUUGCUCAAAAUGGAUUUUUUUUUUUUUUUUUGCGUAUCUGAAGUUUUU
rnacentral:lncRNA from 1 species